rnacentral:rRNA from 1 species
GCUAACACUAGCCCUAAGCACAAAAAACACUAAUAUAAGGCCAAUACACACCAAACCAUUUACCCACAUAUAGUAUAGGCGAUAGAAAUUUUAACCUGGCGCUAUAGACACAGUACCGUAAGGGAAAGAAUAGAACUAUCUAAGCACAAAACAGCAAGAACUAGCCCCUGUACCUUUUGCAUAAUGAAUUAACUAGAAAUAAUUUCGCAAAGAGAACUAAAGCCAAAUCCCCCGAAACCAGACGAGCUACCCGAAAACAGCUAGAAGAGCGCACCCAUCUAUGUGGCAAAAUAGUGGGAAGAUUUACGGGUAGAGGUGACAAGCCUACCGAGCCUGGUGAUAGCUGGUUAUCCAAGAUAGACGGGUAGAGGUGACAAGCCUACCGAGCCUGGUGAUAGCUGGUUAUCCAAGAUAGAAUCUUAGUUCAACCUUGAGCUUACCUACAGAGCUACCUAAUCUCCUUGUAAACUCAAUUGUUAGUCUAAAGAGGGACAGCUCUUUAGACACUAGGAAAAAACCUUACAUAGAGAGUAAAAACCACAACUACCAUAGUUGGCCCAAAAGCAGCCAUCAAUUAAGAAAGCGUUCAAGCUCAACAUCAACCACUCGAAAAAAUCCCAAACAUAUAACUGAACUCCUCACACCACAUUGGAUUAAUCUAUCACUACAUAGAAGCAACAAUGUUAGUAUAAGUAACAUGAAUAUCUUCUCCACUGCAUAAGCCUAAAUCAGACCGAAAACUUCACCGAUACUUAACAGCCCAGUAUUAACAAACACAAACAAGCCAAUACUAUUCUCACUGUUAACCCAACACAGGCAUGCCCCAAGGAAGGUUAAAAAAAGUAAAAGGAACUCGGCAAACCUAAACCCCGCCUGUUUACCAAAAACAUCACCUCUAGCAUUACUAGUAUUAGAGGCACUGCCUGCCCAGUGACACACGUUUAACGGCCGCGGUACCCUGACCGUGCAAAGGUAGCAUAAUCACUUGUUCUUUAAAUAGGGACUCGUAUGAAUGGCAUCACGAGGGUUUAACUGUCUCUUACUUUCAACCAGUGAAAUUGACCUGUCCGUGAAGAGACGGACAUGAAACAAUAAGACGAGAAGACCCUGUGGAGCUUCAAUUUAUUAGUACAACUAAAAACAACACAAACCAACAGGCCCUAAACCCCUACAUCUGUGCUAAAAAUUUUGGUUGGGGCGACCUCGGAGCACAACCAAACCUCCGAAUAAUCCACGCUAAGACUAUACAAGUCAAAGCAAACUAACACUUACAAUUGACCCAAUAAUUUGAUCAACGGAACAAGUUACCCCAGGGAUAACAGCGCAAUUCUAUUCUAGAGUCCAUAUCAACAAUAGAGUUUACGACCUCGAUGUUGGAUCAGGAUAUCCUAAUGGUGCAGCAGCUAUCAAGGGUUCGUUUGUUCAACGAUUAAAAUCCUACGUGAUCUGAGUUCAGACCGGAGCAAUCCAGGUCGGUUUCUAUCUAUUCUACAUUUCUCCCUGUACGAAAGGACAAGAGAAAUAAGGCCCACUUCACAACAGCGCCCUCACUACAUAAAUGAUUUAAUCUUAAUUUAACAGAACACCACAUACCCCACCCAAGAGCAGGGUUU